CCUACGGGAGGCAGCAGUGAGGAAUAUUGGUCAAUGGACGAGAGUCUGAACCAGCCAAGUAGCGUGAAGGAUGACUGCCCUAUGGGUUGUAAACUUCUUUUAUAUGGGAAUAAAAUGUUCCACGUGUGGGAUUUUGUAUGUACCAUAUGAAUAAGGAUCGGCUAACUCCGUGCCAGCAGCCGCGGUAAUACGGAGGAUCCGAGCGUUAUCCGGAUUUAUUGGGUUUAAAGGGAGCGUAGGUGGAUUGUUAAGCCAGUUGUGAAAGUUUGCGGCUCAACCGUAAAAUUGCAGUUGAAACUGGCAGUCUUGAGUACAGUAGAGGUGGGCGGAAUUCGUGGUGUAGCGGUGAAAUGCUUAGAUAUCACGAAGAACUCCGAUUGCGAAGGCAGUUCACUGGACUGCAACUGACACUGAGGCUCGAAAGUGUGGGUAUCAAACAGGAUUAGAUACCCGUGUAGUC
rnacentral:rRNA from 1 species